rnacentral:rRNA from 1 species
UACGUAGGGGGCAAGCGUUGUCCGGAAUCAUUGGGCGUAAAGAGCGUGUAGGCGGCCAGAAAAGUCCGCUGUGAAAACUCGAGGCUCAACUUCGAGCUGUCGGUGGAAACUUUCUGGCUAGAGUCCGGAAGAGGAGAAUGGAAUUCCUGGUGUAGCGGUGAAAUGCGCAGAUAUCAGGAGGAACACCAAUGGCGAAGGCAGCUCGCUGGAACGGUACUGACGCUGAGGCGCGAAAGCGUGGGGAGCGAACAGG